CCAGGCCGGUACCGGACUGAGUAGUUUGAGAACUCCACUUCCCCUCGGCUUGGCCAGUCCUCUGGUGGUUGAUUAUCUUCUAUGAUCCAUGGAGCCUGAAGACGAGAGAAGGUGAAAGCCUCAUGUAGUAUCAGCACCCUGAAAUGUGUCACUAUAUAAAGGUGGAGUCUUUCUAUAUCAGUCCCGAAGCAGCAGACAUGAAGGAUCGCGUGUAGUGAAAACCACAACAUCGUAAACACAAAAGACCCGAAGAGGAAUCGAGCUCCGCCAUACGGUUUGAUGUGUCGUAUAAAACUACUGUAAAUUCCCUAAAAGCUCCAGGAAGGGACAUGGAGCGCUGACAUCUUCUUCCUUCCUGCCCGUUCUCUAUGGCGCAGAUGAUAAGUAUUUGAUGGUUUCUCUUGGAGAUUACACAAUUGACUUUCCUUUUCCUAUAGUCAGUGACUAUGAUAUAUCACUUAGGGGACCUUCUCCUGAGCUGGAGUUAUAUAGACUUUAUGACUUUUCUGUAGACCAUUUUAGAAGGCCAUGUCUGUGGUGGCUUUUCUUGAUCAUUGACUUUUUGCUCUUCCUGGUGAAGGGCAGCACUGUCCGACCAGGAACCAUUCCAUGUAGAAUGUAUAUCUAUCUAUUAUUACACCAGUCUGUCACCCUUCAGGGAUAUCACUUUGUGGAUCCAUAUCACAGCAGUAGGUUCACUAGAAGGAACAGCAAGACCACCCUCAGGAAGGAUUGGGUCAGCAGGUGAUGGGCGCAGACAAUCGCUCUUUCGUUCCCCCCAUUCUUCUCUAGUUUUCCUCUCGUCCUUCUAUCUACAGAGAUAUGAGGAGGUGACUGCAGCCCAUACCAGUUGCUCAGGUCGUCCGGCUCCUCCGGGAUGGCUAGUCCAUGUGUGUUGUUACAAGAAGGUUGAGGUAUCUUCCAGCACAGUCUCAAGAGCCUAGAGUAGACACAAGGACAUGGGCCAUUACAUAAGGAGAGCUGGACAGGGAUGUAAAAGGACACAAUCCCAGGAAUUCAUUGUGCCGGAAGGAAGUGGAGGAGCACCAUCCAAUCCCUAUAAAAUGCUCUACAGUGGGAUGAUAAUGCUCAUUUUUGUGACCAUGCCCAUCAGAAACAGACUCCAUGAGGGAGGCAUUGAGGUCCCUUGUCCAUCAGUACUCACAGUGCAGAGAACCAGGUCCCAGUGCCCAGUUGUCUUCAGAGCAUGUUCACACUGGGGAUGUCUGACAGACAUGAGAGACUCUGGAGAUGUCUUGGUAAACAUUAUGCAGCCUGCAACAUAAUCAUCCAUCAUGUUUAGUUUGGUGGCUCAGGGAAUGUCUGGAUAGGCAAAUACAUGGAAAGUCACACAAAACCCCAUGUGAUAGCCAACGGUACCCUUCCUGCUGAUAGGAACCAGGAUGACAUCCUCAGAUCCAUUGUUAUACGUCACCGUGGUUUCAGUAGAUCUUGGGCUCCUUCUGGUGUUGGACAAUGUCUGCGAUCAUGUGACCAAUGUAUGUAGGCAGGUCCUGGAUGAUGAAGGCAUGGAUGUCAUUGACUAAACCUCAUGCUCCUCAGACCUGAAUACAAUUGAGAACCUCUGGGGCGGUCUAUUUUGGGGCAUCCUGUGGCACCAAUAGUCGCAUUAAGUUGUUUUGAAAUUCAUGAUGAUAGGAUCCAUCAGUGAUUUCAGUUUUUCUUCUUCUAUUUUCAGAGUGAUUUGGAAUCUAGCCCCCGAUGGGCCGAUGAUUUUGGUUUCCCAUUGUCCGAUGAUCUGUCAUUUUAUUCUCAAUGGAUUCCAUUAUUUAAUAGGUAAAGAUUUGCAUCCUAAAUGAACACUUCAUUGAGAUCUGAUGUGGGAUGUGUUUUUUUUAUUUUCUGAUCAGUUUAUGCACUGCUCAAAAUAACAAAGGGAAGACUUACACAAAACAAUGUGACUCCAAGUCAAUGACACUUGUGUGAGAUCCCACUGUCCACUCAGGAAGAACACUGAUUGACAAUCAAUUUCACAUGGAACAGACAACACGUGGAAAAUUAUAGGCAAUUAGCAAGACAUUCCCAAUAAAGAGUUGUUCUGCAGGUGGUGACCACAGACACACUUCUCAGUUCCUUUGCUUCCUGGCUGAUGUUUUGGUCACUUUUGAAUGCUGGCGGUGUUUUCACUCUAGUGGUAGCAUGAGACAGAGUCUACAACCCACACAAGAGGCUCAGGUAGUGCAGCUCAUCCAGGAUGGCACAUCAAUGCGAUCUGUGUCAAGAAGGUUUGCUGUGUCUGUCACCGUAGUGUCCAGAGCAUGGAGGCGCUACAAGGAGACAGGCUAGUACAUCAGAAGAUGUGGAGGAGGCCGUAGGAGAGCAACAACCCAGCAGCAGGACCGCUACUUCCGCCUUUGUGUAAGGAGGAGCACUGCCAGAGCCCUGCAAAAUGAACUCCAGCAGGCCACUAAUGUGCAUGUGUCCACUCAAACGGUAAGAAACAGAGUUCAUGAGGGUGAUAUGAAGGCCCGACCUCCAUAGGUGGGGGGUUAUGCUUACAGCCGAAUACUGUGCAGGACAUUUGGCAUUUGCCAGAGAACACCAAGAUUGGCAAAUUCACCACUGGCGCCCUGUGCUUUUCACAGAUGAAAGCAAGUUCACACUGAGCACAUGUGACAGACAUGACAGUCUGGAGAUGCCGUGGAGAACGUUCUGCUGCCUGCAACAUCCUCCAGCAUGACCAGUUUGGCAGCGGGUCAGUAAUGGUGUGGGGUGGCAUUUCUUUGGGAGCCGCACAGCCCUCCAUGUGCUUGCCAGAGGUAGCCUGACUGCCAUUAAGUACCGAGAUGAGAUCCUCAGACCCCUUGUGAGACCAUAUGCUGGUGCGGUUGGCCUGGGUUCCUCCUAAUACAAGACAAUGCUAGACCUCAUGUGGCCUGAGGGUGUCAGCAGUUCCUACAAGAGGAAGGCAUUAAUGCUAUGGACUGGCCCACCCGUUCCCCAGACCUGAAUCCGAUUGAGCACAUCUGGGACAUCAUGUCUCGCUCCAUCCACCACAGUCUGUCCAGGAGUUGGCAGAUGCUUUAGUCCAGGUCUGGGAGGACAUCCCUCAGGAGACCAUCCUCCACCUCAUCAGGAGCAUGCCCAGGCAUUGUAGGGAGGUCAUACGGGCACGUGGAGGCCACACACUACUGAGCCUCAUUGUGACUUCUUUUAAGGACAUUACAUGAAGUUGGAUCGGCCUGUAGUGUGGUUUUCCACUGUGAUUUUGAGUGUGACUCCAUAUCCAGACCUACAUGGGUUGAUAAAUUUUAUUUCCAUUGAUAAUUUUUGUGUGAUUUUGUUGUCAGUGCAUUCAACUAUGUAAAGACGAAAGUAUUAGUUCAUUCAGAUCUGGGAUGUGUCAUCGUAGUGUUCUCUUUAUUGUUUUUUGAG